AAACACCUUAUUUUUAAUUAUUUUACAGUUAAAGAGCCUUUAGUGUUCAGAAGGACAAUGUUCAAAGUCAUGGCUGGAUUAUGCAAUGAAACUGCUGAAACAUGUACAUGUUCUCCUAAAACUGAAUUUGGCGUGACCUUUCAGGCCUUCCAUGGACUUCAAUCUAUUGGACAUCUGACUCUUGGUUGUGAAGCAGGUUUAAGAACAAGAGUGCUGUGUAAUUACAUUUCAAUGGGGUGCAGCGGUUCAUUAUUCUCUGCUAUACCAAUCUACUGCAACAUUUCCAAAGCAGUCAGGCCUGAAAUAAUCUACUUACGCAUGAAUGCCCUUCCCUCUGAGGGAAGUAACAUUUUUAAG
ensembl:lncRNA